UACGGGGGGGGCAAGCGUUGUUCGGAAUUACUGGGCGUAAAGGGCUCGUAGGUGGCCAACUAAGUCGGACGUGAAAUCCCUCGGCUUAACCGGGGAACUGCGUCCGAUACUGGUUGGCUUGAGUUUGGGAGAGGGAUGCGGAAUUCCAGGUGUAGCGGUGAAAUGCGUAGAUAUCUGGAGGAACACCUGUGGUGUAGACGGCUCUCUGGACCGCAACUGACGCUGAGACACGAAAGCGUGGGUAGCAAACAGG
rnacentral:rRNA from 1 species